ACAAAUUUUAAAAGAGCAUUUAUUCUAUUCAUUCAGAAAAGCUUUUUGUACCAACAGCAACCCCAAAGAUAUCUCCAGUUCACUUCCCUGCAAUUCUGGAUAUAAAAGACAUAAUUGAGAAGAAUUAGGCUAGUCGUGUCAACGAAUUUCUCAUAGGAGGUAUCAAAACCUUCAGGGAAAGGAACAAAAAAUCCAUCAUUGGGUGCACAUACGCUCUGGUCAUCAUAUACUUCCGCAGUAAAAGGUAGGGGAUUGAGCCAGUACCUAAUGCCCCUCAAGGACCAUGGAUGUUGUAUUGGAAUAGGGACAAAUUAGUACAGAGAAUUGAGGAUGAAUACAAAAAAUAUAAGGGCCUCAUAAAACAAGACAAAACAAUGAGAAAAAGAGCUCGCAUGGAGGCCAAAAAGACUGAGAAAACAAUAGAACCUCCUACUUCCACAUCUGAUUCAGAAAAAAAAAAAAAAAAAAACAAACCUGAAUUAGAUUCUGAGUAAGAUUCACACUAUUUUCCAAUAAAUUCUUUUCUAUUAUAAAAUUAAAUCUCUUUCUUAUUAAAGAUUUUUAAAUGUAUUCUUAGAAUUGAACAACAAAAGUGAAAAACAAAAAAAAAGGUAGAGAACAAAGUCUAAAGAAGCUCAAACAACAAAGAAAGUAAGUAUAUGUACUAUAAAACUUUUAAUUCUGUGUUGUUCCCUAUUGAUAUUAUUCUAUGUUUUUUUUUUGUGCUUUCUUCAAUAAAUUUUUAACUAUUAUACUACAAAAUUAACAAAGCCUAAAGAGGCUCAAACAAAAAAAUUCAACAAAAGAAGAAAACAAAUGUGGGUAAAAAACAAAGAAGCAUGGGGCUUCAAAUGAGUAAAUUUGUUUUGUUUUAAACUCCCAUGAGAAUUUGUAUGUUGUUUCUAUAGUUUUUUUAUUUUCUUAGCUAAUUUUUCUGGUGAUUUAGAUCCACAAGCAAUUAUGAACCCUCUAACUCCACACAAACAAGCACACACAGCGGAGAACAUGAUCUUGCCGGUACUCCAACCCCUAAGCUUAAUAUACUAACUUUCAUUUAUUCUUUGUGUAAAAUCUGAUUUAAUAUUAUCAUAUAUCUUUAGUUCUUAUUCAAAUUUGUUUUAAGUUUUAUUAGAAAGAUUUUUAUAAGAAAAAGGAAUAGACGAGGAAAAGAAUAUAAAAAAACAACAUUGCAAAAAGAAGAUCAACAAUCUGCAAAGAAAGCAAAAGAAAUAACUCAGGAUCAAUCCCACUACUAAGAUGUAAGUUAAUUAUUUUAACUAAAUAAAUUAUAUAAUCCAUUGAGAACUACUCCAUUUAUGUUUAGUCAAUUUAUUUGUUUGCACAUUGAGAGAUAAGGAUAAUGCUUCUCGUGAUCAAAGCCAUUCAUUUGACUCUCUCGAUGAAAUACUCGAGAAAAACAAAGAUCCCAUGGACAAAGAUCUUAUUGAUGUUUCAAAAAUCUUAACUGAACAAUUUGUUCCAGUUCUCAUAUUGGAACAUUUACCAACUACUCCCUACAUUUUUCAAGAUCUUGGUGAUACAUCUUCCAAUCGCACAAGAAUGUUUGACUCUACCACACUAUGAUUCUUGGAAGCUCCCUAGACAAACAAACAGAGAAAUGUGUUGAUGGGCUAGUAAAAGACUAGACAGAUGCUGUUGAAAGUAAAAGAGAAAAAGUUAUCAAUGUUCUCAACAUCCAUCCCUUUCACAUGUAAUAUCUGGCAUUAAGGAAGAAAAGGA